UACGUAGGGUGCGAGCGUUAAUCGGAAUUACUGGGCGUAAAGCGUGCGCAGGCGGUUAUGUAAGACAGUUGUGAAAUCCCUGGGCUCAACCUGGGAAUUGCAUCUGUGACUGCAUGGCUAGAGUACGGUAGAGGGGGAUGGAAUUCCGCGUGUAGCAGUGAAAUGCGUAGAUAUGCGGAGGAACACCGAUGGCGAAGGCAAUCCCCUGGACCUGUACUGACGCUCAUGCACGAAAGCGUGGGGAGCAAACAGG
rnacentral:rRNA from 2 species